GGGGUUGUGGCGCAGUGGUAGCGCAUAUGCUUUGCAUCGAGUCUGUCAUGACCUGGACACGUUCCUGGUCUUCCGGAUGGCUUUUCGACCUACAAACUGCAUGGGGUCGUCGGUUCGAACCCGGCCAACUCCA
rnacentral:tRNA from 1 species